rnacentral:SRP_RNA from 1 species
ACUGGGCACGGUGGCACAUGCCUGUAGUCCCAGCUACUCGGGAGACUGAGGUGGGAGGGUCACUUGAGCCCAGGAGUUCUGGGCUGUAGUGCUCAAUGCCUGUCGGGUGUCUGUACUAAGUUUGGCAUCAAUAUGGUUAUCUCCUGGGAGCCGGGGACCACCAGGUUGCCUAGGGAGGGGUGAACUGGCCCAGGUCAGAAACGAGCAGGUCAAAACUCCUGUGCUGAUCAGUAGUGGGAUUACACCUGUGAAUAGUCACUGCACUGCAGCCUGGGCAACAUAGUGAUACCCAUCUUAA